rnacentral:tRNA from 1 species
GGAGCUGGAGCUCAGUGGUAGAGUGCUUGCCUAGCAUGCGUGAGGCCCUGGGUUCAAUCCUCAGCACCA